GUAGGGUGCGAGCGUUAAUCGGAAUUACUGGGCGUAAAGCGUGCGCAGGCGGUUAUGUAAGACAGGUGUGAAAUCCCCGGGCUUAACCUGGGAACUGCAUUUGUGACUGCAUAGCUAGAGUACGGUAGAGGGGGAUGGAAUUCCGCGUGUAGCAGUGAAAUGCGUAGAUAUGCGGAGGAACACCGAUGGCGAAGGCAAUCCCCUGGACCUGUACUGACGCUCAUGCACGAAAGCGUGGGGAGCAAACAGGAUUAGAUACCCUGGUAGUCCACGCCCUAAACGAUGUCAACUGGUUGUUGGUCCUUCACUGGAUCAGUAACGAAGCUAACGCGUGAAGUUGACCGCCUGGGGAGUACGGCCGCAAGGUUG
rnacentral:rRNA from 1 species